rnacentral:rRNA from 1 species
AUGCGAGUCGAACGAUGAUCCCAGCUUGCUGGGGGAUUAGUGGCGAACGGGUGAGUAACACGUGAGUAACCUGCCCUUGACUCUGGGAUAAGCCUGGGAAACUGGGUCUAAUACCGGAUAUGACUCCUCAUCGCAUGGUGGGGGGUGGAAAGCUUUUGUGGUUUUGGAUGGACUCGCGGCCUAUCAGCUUGUUGGUGGGGUAAUGGCCUACCAAGGCGACGACGGGUAGCCGGCCUGAGAGGGUGACCGGCCACACUGGGACUGAGACACGGCCCAGACUCCUACGGGAGGCAGCAGUGGGGAAUAUUGCACAAUGGGCGCAAGCCUGAUGCAGCGACGCCGCGUGAGGGAUGACGGCCUUCGGGUUGUAAACCUCUUUCAGUAGGGAAGAAGCGUAAGUGACGGUACCUGCAGAAGAAGCGCCGGCUAACUACGUGCCAGCAGCCGCGGUAAUACGUAGGGCGCAAGCGUUAUCCGGAAUUAUUGGGCGUAAAGAGCUCGUAGGCGGUUUGUCGCGUCUGCUGUGAAAGACCGGGGCUCAACUCCGGUUCUGCAGUGGGUACGGGCAGACUAGAGUGCAGUAGGGGAGACUGGAAUUCCUGGUGUAGCGGUGAAAUGCGCAGAUAUCAGGAGGAACACCGAUGGCGAAGGCAGGUCUCUGGGCUGUAACUGACGCUGAGGAGCGAAAGCAUGGGGAGCGAACAGGAUUAGAUACCCUGGUAGUCCAUGCCGUAAACGUUGGGCACUAGGUGUGGGGGACAUUCCACGUUUUCCGCGCCGUAGCUAACGCAUUAAGUGCCCCGCCUGG